GACGAACGCUGGCGGCGUGCUUAACACAUGCAAGUCGAACGGAAAGGCCCUUCGGGGUACUCGAGUGGCGAACGGGUGAGUAACACGUGGGUGAUCUGCCCUGCACUUUGGGAUAAGCCUGGGAAACUGGGUCUAAUACCGAAUAUGACCAUGCUCUUCAUGGAGUGUGGUGGAAAGCUUUUGCGGUGUGGGAUGGGCCCGCGGCCUAUCAGCUUGUUGGUGGGGUAAUGGCCUACCAAGGCGACGACGGGUAGCCGGCCUGAGAGGGUGACCGGCCACACUGGGACUGAGAUACGGCCCAGACUCCUACGGGAGGCAGCAGUGGGGAAUAUUGCACAAUGGGCGCAAGCCUGAUGCAGCGACGCCGCGUGAGGGAUGACGGCCUUCGGGUUGUAAACCUCUUUCAAUAGGGACGAAGCGCAAGUG
rnacentral:rRNA from 1 species